UACCAGCACCCCGAGUGGUCGGGACGUUUAUUGGGCCUAAAGCAUCCGUAGCCGGUUCUGCAAGUCUUCCGUUAAAUCCACCUGCUUAACAGAUGGGCCGCGGAAGAUACUAUAGAGCUAGGAGGCGGGAGAGGCAAGCGGUACUCGAUGGGUAGGGGUAAAAUCCGUUGAUCCAUUGAAGACCACCAGUGGCGAAGGCGGCUUGCCAGAACGCGCUCGACGGUGAGGGAUGAAAGCUGGGGGAGCAAACGG
rnacentral:rRNA from 1 species